rnacentral:rRNA from 1 species
GACGUAGGGCGCGAGCGUUGUCCGGAUUUAUUGGGCGUAAAGAGCUCGUAGGCGGUUUGUCGCGUCGUGUGUGAAAUCCCCGCAGCUCAACUGCGGGCUUGCAGGCGAUACGGGCAGACGUUGAGUACUGCAGGGGAGACUGGAAUUCCUGGUGUAGCGGUGAAAUGCGCAGAUAUCAGGAGGAACACCGGUGGCGAAGGCGGGUCUCUGGGCAGUAACUGACGCUGGAGGAACGAAAGCGUGGGUAGCGAACAGG